AUUGAACGCUGGCGGCAGGCUUAACACAUGCACGUCGCACGAGUGGCGGACGGGUGAGUAAUGUUUGGGAAUCUGGCUUAUGGAGGGGGAUAACGCCGGGAAACUGUCGCUAAUACCGCGUACCAUAGGAUGAGCCCAAGUGGGAUUAGGUAGUUGGUGGGGUAAUGGCCUACCAAGCCGACGAUCUCUAGCUGGUCUGAGAGGAUGACCAGCCAAACCGGGACUGGGACACGGACCGAACUCCGACGGGAGGCAGAAGUGUGGAAUAUUGCGCAAUGGGGGCAACCUGACGCAGCCAUGCCGCGUGAAUGAAGAAGGCCUUCGGGUUGUAAAGUACUUUCGGUGAGGAGGCGUUAAUCACAGAAGAAGCACCGGCUAACGCCGUGCCAGCCGCCGCGGUAAUAC
rnacentral:rRNA from 1 species